ACUUGAUGAGUACAUUCUGCAC
rnacentral:piRNA from 1 species